rfam:Toxocara canis scaffold1175, whole genome shotgun sequence.
CGGGCAGUAGCCCAGCGGUAGGACUUUUGCCUCUUAUGCAAAAAGAUCCGCGUUCGGCUCGCGGCUGCUUCG